rnacentral:rRNA from 1 species
UAUCAGCACCCCGAGUGGUCGGGACGUUUAUUGGGCCUAAAGCAUCCGUAGCCGGUUCUGCAAGUCUUCCGUUAAAUCCACCUGCUUAACAGAUGGGCUGCGGAAGAUACUAUAGAGCUAGGAGGCGGGAGAGGCAAGCGGUACUCGAUGGGUAGGGGUAAAAUCCGUUGAUCCAUUGAAGACCACCAGUGGCGAAGGCGGCUUGCCAGAACGCGCUCGACGGUGAGGGAUGAAAGCUGGGGGAGCAACCGG